rnacentral:rRNA from 1 species
GAUGAACGCUGGCGGCGUGCCUAAUACAUGCAAGUCGAGCGAACAGAUGAGGAGCUUGCUCCUCUGACGUUAGCGGCGGACGGGUGAGUAACACGUGGAUAACCUACCUAUAAGACUGGGAUAACUUCGGGAAACCGGAGCUAAUACCGGAUAAUAUAUUGAACCGCAUGGUUCAAUAGUGAAAGACGGUUUUGCUGUCACUUAUAGAUGGAUCCGCGCCGCAUUAGCUAGUUGGUAAGGUAACGGCUUACCAAGGCAACGAUGCGUAGCCGACCUGAGAGGGUGAUCGGCCACACUGGAACUGAGACACGGUCCAGCCUCCUACGGGAGGCAGCAGUAGGGAAUCUUCCGCAAUGGGCGAAAGCCUGACGGAGCAACGCCGCGUGAGUGAUGAAGGUCUUCGGAUCGUAAAACUCUGUUAUUAGGGAAGAACAAAUGUGUAAGUAACUAUGCACGUCUUGACGGUACCUAAUCAGAAAGCCACGGCUAACUACGUG